AGUGUAAGUGUAACCAAGCCCUAAGUUAUUUUCUGCAAAAAGCCCUACAGUUUUCAGGGGGUCAGUAGCCCCUGGAAUCACAGUUAAAGUUGUCUCCCGCCCCAGAAUCUGAAAUAGACCCUGGUGAGCCAGGAGCAGCCACAGGGCUGCAGGGUAUCUGGGGCUUCAGCAAGAUGCAGCCCCCGUGUGAGAGCACAAAGCCC